rnacentral:rRNA from 1 species
AUGAACGCUGGCGGCGUGCCUCAUACAUGCAAGUCGAGCGAACAGACGAGGAGCUUGCUCCUCUGACGUUAGCGGCGGACGGGUGAGUAACACGUGGAUAACCUACCUAUAAGACUGGGAUAACUUCGGGAAACCGGAGCUAAUACCGGAUAAUAUAUUGAACCGCAUGGUUCAAUAGUGAAAGACGGUUUUGCUGUCACUUAUAGAUGGAUCCGCGCCGCAUUAGCUAGUUGGUAAGGUAAUGGCUUACCAAGGCAACGAUGCGUAGCCGACCUGAGAGGGUGAUCGGCCACACUGGAACUGAGACACGGUCCAGACUCCUACGGGAGGCAGCAGUAGGGAAUCUUCCGCAAUGGGCGAAAGCUUGACGGAGCAACGCCGCGUGAGUGAUGAAGGUCUUCGGAUCGUAAAACUCUGCUAUUAGGGAAGAACAAAUGUGUAAGUAACUAUGCACGUCUUGACGGUACCUAAUCAGAAAGCCACGGCUAACUACGUG